UCAAAGUUCUGAUCGGUCAAUUUCUGUCAUGGGUUGCGUGGUCUUGAGAGCCAUGGCGUCCGGUGGUGUGGUUCUGAACAGUUGGGAGCCGAUCAACACCUGGGCUCUCGGGUAACGCAGCUACGAGUUUUAACGAAAUCUGGUGUAGAAUCAACCGGCGAUUUGUGCAUUCUACAGUGGUAAUCUCAUGCAGAACAAUGGUGGCAGAUUUCCCCGUUUUGACGUCGUCAUAAAAGGUAAAAGGCUUUGGAUUUAUCUCUACAACAGGGCUAUUGUUCUUGUUUUUAGAGUUGUUUGAAGUUUUAACGCCGGAUGAGAAUUAAGAUGGGUGUCUGCCAUGGAGUGUUCUGGAACGGGGCCUUAGUAUCCUGGUUUGGGGUUAUAGAAAACCGUGGGCUCUUUUGUGUUGUGCAGGAAGACCACGUGCUUCCAUUCUCCCAAGGGCAAUGCUUGCCACUAGUGGUCCAGGUGCCACUUGGAAUUAGUUACCUCAAUUAGGACAUGUUGUUAAAACACAUGUUUUUAUUCAAGCUGUAGAGAUUAUGGCAUGUUUAUGCCAAGUUUAGUUACUGGGCACUUUGCCCAAUUUGGGGCUCAUAUGCUGUGCAUCUUGUUGUGGAGCUCCGUUAAAUUCCAUGUUUAGUUUAGUUACUGAACUCAUCAAGCUCUUUGUUGAGCUUCUAUAAAUCCCUAGUUCCUUUGUUUUAUUAGCCCGGUGGUCAUGCGUAGUAUGGUUGUGACCGGGGCUAUCAUUGAUUAGAUUGGGGUUUCGCGCUGAUUGAAAGGGGUAGCUUCGCGGCUGCCAUUGACUAGAUCGAUGGUUGGGCUCUGAUUGAAAAUGGUAGCUUCUGAGGCUGUCAUUGAUUAGAUUGGUAGUCGUGUACUGAUUGAAAGGGGUAGCUUCGUUGGUUGUCAUUGAUUAGAUUGGUGGUUAUGCACUGAUUGAAAGGGGUAGCUUGGUUCACCUGCGGUUUGAGUGGCCAUUUUUUGUGGCUCCUCUUUCUGUCUCUCUUUUAGAUUUUAGCGAGCCUAGGGGAUUAGGUUGAGGGACUGGCAGUCUGGAUGGAAUGGGCGUGGUGUGCAGCGUAGCCUUGUCGGAUGUCGACAUCUCCAAUUUGAGCCUCUUCUUGGUUCCUAGUCACUCUAUAGUAGUUGUUCUUUUAGAAGUAGGUAUUAUGCUUGUUCUCUGGGUUGGUUGGAGUAUUAGUAGCUUGGUUUGUUUAUCCCAUCUCUGGAGUCUAUGGUGAUUGUUAGUGGGCUGAGAGCGGGUUGUUUUCUGGCGAGCCUUAGGCUUGGAUGAGGGAGUUAUAGGCCGGAUGGAAUGGACGUGGUGUGUAGGGUGGGGCCCCUAUCGGAUGCAGGCAUCUCUGGUUCGAGCCCUCUCUUGGUGCCAUGUUCCUCUGUAGUAGCUGUUCUGCUUCUCUUGAUGCCGUAUUGCUUUGUUGCUGCUAGUCCUCAGUGUUGGUUAUCAUUUUGUCAUCUCUGGCCGUUUCUAUUUAUUUGAUUUCCUAACCUGACGGGAUGUGCCAGGUAGUAAUAGUUCAAUUUCAAUUUCAUGUUAUUACUAAUAGUAUCACUUCUUAUCAUAACCCCUUAGAUAGUGCAACGGGAAUAUGAUCUCAUCACACAUGGCACUUUUGUUAUGUUAUUUACUCUAUCCUACUCUCUAUGCGGGUUGUGCAUGGGUUAUCGCACUUUUUUCAAUCUUCUUUUUUUUUCCUUUCUUUUCCUCC